rnacentral:tRNA from 1 species
GGCACGGUACGCAAACCGGCAAAGCGGCCAACUUCAAAACUUGGUGAUCGUCUGUGGGUUCGAUUCCCACCCGUGCCA